CGAGGUAAAGGACUUAACGGUCCGCCGAGGGAGGAGCCUGCGUCCCAUCAGCUAGUUGGUAGGGUAAAAGCCUACCAAGGCGAUGACGGGUAGCUGGACUGAGAGGUCGGUCAGCCACAACUGCACUGAGA
rnacentral:rRNA from 1 species